rnacentral:rRNA from 1 species
UACGUAGGGGGCAAGCGUUAUCCGGAUUUACUGGGUGUAAAGGGAGCGUAGACGGCAGUGCAAGUCCGGAGUGAAAGCCCGGGGCUCAACCCUGGGACUGCUCUGGAAACUGUAAAGCUGGAGUGCGGGAGGGGCAGGCGGAAUUCCUGGUGUAGCGGUGAAAUGCGUAGAUAUCAGGAGGAACACCGGCGGCGAAGGCGGCCUGCUGGACCGUAACUGACGUUGAGGCUCGAAAGCGUGGGGGGCAAACAGG